CAGCUUUGUGACGGGACCAGCUGGCUGGUUCCAUGAGGUGACUUCUGCCCAGUGCUCUGAUUGUCAAUGCGAAGAGAUUCAGCCAAGCGCGGGUAAACGGCGGGAGUAACUAUGACUCUCUUAAGGUAGCCAAAUGCCUCGUCAACCAAUUAUUGACGCGCAUGAAUGGAUCAACGAGAUUCCUGCUGUCCCUAGGUGCUGUCCGGUGAACCUACAGCCAAGGGAACGGGCUUGGAUGUGCCAGCGGGGAAAGAAGACCCUGUUGAGUUUGACUCUAGUUUGAUGCUGUGCAACAACAUGUGGGGUGUAGCAUAGGUGGGAGGCGAGUGCCAUUCUCCUCUCCCUCUCUCCUCACCACAGACUCUGUCUCGUGGAUGAUGGAAGUGUGUGGCCUUGAAUGGUGCAAACCAGCAGUGAAAUACCACUACCUUCACCGUUGUUUUACUCAUCGAGUGGCUUGGGAACAGUGGCCAUUGGACAUCAGCCUUUGCAAUCCUUGUGGAGGUUGUGGCCUCUUCCUGCUUCGUGUGUCAAAUGCUGGUCCAUCCUCUGGGUGGCUGGCAUGACCCUUGGGGUUACACACCCCAUCAAUGCAUUGAUGCCUCGGGACAAUGAUCAGUUGGGGAGUUUGGCUGGGGCGGCACGCCUGUUACAAGACAACGCAGGCGUCCUGAAGCAUUGCUCAGAUGGAAGGGAAAUCUUGCAUGGAGGAGCAGGCCAAAGGUUCUGCUGAUGAUGUGACUUCCAGUACAAGUCCAAAACGUGCAAGUGUGGCCUUGCGAUCCUUUGGUCAAGCUCACGGAUUCUGGAUAUUGAAGCCAGAGGUGUCAGAAAAAUUACCACAGGGAUAACUGGCUUGUGGCUGCCAAGCGUUCAAAGCGACGUCGCUUUUUGAUCCUUCGAUGUCGGCUCUUCCUAGCUUCCCACCCGCAGCCGAGUGGAAGAGUUGGAUUGUUCACCCACCAACAGGGAACGUGAGCUGGGUUUA
rnacentral:rRNA from 1 species